rnacentral:lncRNA from 1 species
UCUGAACGAACUAUGCGAACCUGAUUCUCAUCUCGGUGAGAUACGUAGGCAACCCUUCUUGGGUUCGGUAUCCAUUUUUUCAAAUUUUAAAAAUAAAAAGUAAAAUAGUUUGUGCGUAUUUUUAAAAACAUAUCUGCAUGAACUACGUACACCUGAUUCUCAUAUCAAUGAGAUACGUAGGCAACCCUUUUUGGGUUCAGUAUUUACUCAUUCUUUCCAAAAAAAAAAAUGUUUUGUACAUAUUAAAAGGGUCAUGUCUUCAGCUCAAAUGAGACCAAUGCAGUUAGGAGCAUGUAAAAAUAUUCGAUAUGAUGAAGAGGAC